AGGGACUUAGGAUAAUUUUUAAACCAAGGGCCUUCAAAGCCCUAAAUAAGAGCCACACCCUCUUAGCCCCUG
rnacentral:tRNA from 1 species